rnacentral:sRNA from 1 species
AGAGAGAAAAAGUAAAAGACCGAAGAAGGAGGCUGGAGAGACCAGGAUCCUUCCAGCUGAAUAAAGUCAGCCACAAAGCAGACUAGCCAGCCGGCUACAAUUGGAGUCAGAGUCCCAAAGACAUGGGCUUGUUAGAGUGCUGUGCAAGAUGUCUGGUAGGGGCCCCCUUUGCUUCCCUGGUGGCCACUGGAUUGUGUUUCUUUGGGGUGGCACUGUUCUGUGGCUGUGGACAUGAAGCCCUCACUGGCACAGAAAAGCUAAUUGAGACCUAUUUCUCCAAAAACUACCAGGACUAUGAGUAUCUCAUCAAUGUGAUCAUCCUCAGGAUUUUGUGGCAAUAACAAGGGGUGGGGGAAAAUUGGGCGCGAGUCUGUGGCCUCGUCCCCACCCAAGGCUGGGUCCUCUCUAGGGGCCUGGCAUUUGAGUGAGGAAGCGAUGGCUGCAGCCGAACGAGAAGGUCAGGAAGAACGUGGUGCCCAGCUGGCUUAGCCUCACCUUUCAAAGGUUCCCUAAGCAAAUUUCUUCUCAAAAC